CAAUAAACAUAUUACCGAACAUUCUGAGAGAUAAACAUAUACAUUUCCUCUAAAUAGGUUGGUGAAAUUAUAUAAGGCCGGUAUUUGCACAUUCAUUCAUAGCCACUAACACGCAUAGCGUUUCAGGCAGGUCCUUAAUCUAACAUAUCAGAUGAAAAGGUACAUUGUAGCAAGGCUUUAUAUCAACAAAUAACUACAAUAUAAAUUGACAGAGGUGAUUACAGUGGUGACGAUAAAUGUCUUAAUAUUGGGGGAAGUAUGUAGUACAAGAUACAGUGUGAGUUUGAAGCACUAGAUAGGAAACUAUGAGGAUGAAACUAGGUUCUUUUUGGUUUUACUUUUGAAUAGGGGAAUAGGUUGGACAAUUUUUUUAAUUCAUCAGGGAGUGAGUUCCAAAGACUGGGUCCUUUUAUUUGCAUAAAGUGUUUGCACAGAUUUAGUGCUGGAAUAGAAACCAUAGCGAAGCUGGAAUAACACUUGAGAUAUAACGUGGUGCAACUCCCUCUGGUGACGGUGUAGCGGCGUCUUGUGCUGGGACUACACAGGGUGACCAGAGUCAGGGUGAUAGAGCAUUAUUUAAUACGUUUCUCUUUAGGUUGGAAAUCUCGUAUAGAGUAUUGGUUAGUCGCCGUUUUCUGUUGAUGUCGCGUAUCCUUUCGCUUCGUUUUCUUUGCACACAGACCUUGGUGAAAUUUAAACAUUAAUUCCUAAAAAAAUGGAGAUAUUUAAACACUAUUAUACAUGUUUGUAGCGAGAGAUUAUGAUAAUACCAUUUUGAAUAUAUUAUAAAAAUGAAUCGUUUUAGCUGGAGGAUUUAUUCCUAUAUUUGUCCUCGGCAAGAAGUACACUCAAGAGUAAACAGACGCCAGUCGUCGUGAGACCCUGGAGGAGGGAGGACGCGCGCACUCUUCUCUCUCUUGAAGGUGACAAGAAAAAAAAUCACAAAAUAAAUGGUUAAUUUUGUGUUGUGUGCAUGAAGAUAAGCUACUUGAAUUAUAGCAGCUUCUGGGUUAUACUUUUCUCAGUAUAGUGUCAUUAACACCUACCUCAUACAAAAGACAACAUUACUGAGCAGAUACUUUAUCAGGUCAGCAAAAGUUUUAGUAAAACUAGUAUGAAAGCACCAGCAUCAUCAUGAAAGUACUGAAAAUAUCAGUACAAAUAUAGCAGCAGCUGCAACACAUUUGCUGUAGCAAUAGGAACAAAUCAAGAAUAGAAGAGACAGACAGCAAGAGAUAGCCAAGAGCCAGCUGACAUUCAACAUGACAGAAUCAAAUGCCCUUAUCAAUGAUCUAGAUGAUCCUCUGUCCCAAUUUUGUGGCCAUCCAUUUUGGAACGUAAGUUUCUCUUGGGACUCACAUGACCCGGAACUGGGUACGUGUAUCGAGAGGACAUUGCUAAUAUGGGGACCGUGUCUUCUCCUCUGGGUGUGUGCCCCUGUAUACAUCUUCACACAGUUUCAAGGAAGCCAAACUGCUAUUCCCCGCUCAUGUUUAUUGUACUUCAAGCUAGUAUUGUCAGUAUUGGUGACAGCGGCAGCUGUUGCAGAGCUUGUAAACGCAGUGUCAAAGUCAUCUCAGGAAAAUGUUGUUUCAACCAAUGAUUUUGUCGCUCCUGUUAUUCUCAUGAGUUCUUAUAUAUUGCAAAUGAUAUUGGUAUUCCUGAGUCAUAAGUAUGGAGACAGAAGCAGCGGACUUGUGUGGCUGUUUUGGUUCCUGCAAGUCAUAUGUGGUGUCCCGCGCCUCAAGUCUACACUCUCAUCCACUGCCAGCCCCGAUGGGAACUUGGAUACAAUAACAUUCCUUGUACAGUACAUUGGUGGUGUUGUACUCUUAAUUGUGAACUGUUUUGCUGAUAAUCCUCCUGACUCAGAUGGACUCAGCAAGGUCUACCCAGAGCAGCAUGUGUCCUUCAUAAACAAAAUAACCUUCCACUGGGUGAGUGGCCUCGUGUGGUUGGGUUGGAAACGUUCCCUGACCCAUGAUGACCUUUGGGAAGUCCCUUCUCAUUGUACGACUAGUAAUCUGGAUGCUUUAUGGAGAGCAGCUUGGAGUAAUGAGCUCUCAGUAGCCAGACAAAAGGCAUCAUUAAAAAAACAACAUUCUCCAGCUGAUAUUGAAGAAAAGAAGCCAUGUUUGUCUGUUCUUCGAGUCAUUGUAAGAUCGAUCUUCUGGCCGUAUGUCUAUGCCUCAGUUAUGCACGUCUCUGCAGAAUUGGUUUUAUUUUUUACUCCGCGACUCCUAGGUUUGUUGAUCAGCUUUUCAAGCAAUGAGGAAGAGCCGGUGUGGCACGGUUACUUUUACGCAAUCUUGCUUCUCCUUGUCAGUUUCCUCACAACCAUCUUUAGAACCAUCUUUGCAUACAAUGCUUGGAUCAUUGGUGCAAAGGUCAGGUCGUCUUUAAUGGCUGCAGUAUACCGAAAGGCACUUACACUCUCAGUUGCUGCUAGACGAGAGUCAACUGUUGGUGAAAUUGUCAACCUGAUGGCUAUAGAUUCUCAGAAAAUAAGUGAUUUUCCCUUAUUUUCCAGCUUGUUUUGGUCAGGUCCCCUGAUCAUAAUAAUUGCUCUGUAUGAACUAUGGAAGAUAUUGGGACCUGCAGCACUCUCUGGCCUGGCUGUCUUGAUACUUCUCAUCCCCAUAAACAGUGUCAUUGCCAACAAUAUCAUAACCCUCCAGAGCUCUCAGAUGAAGUUCAAAGACAAGAGAAUCAAGAUGCUUAAUGAAAUCAUUAAUGGAAUAAAAGUACUGAAAUUGUAUGCUUGGGAGAACUCCUUCAAUAAUCAGGUAGAAGAUGUCAGAAAGGCAGAGAUUAAAGUUCUGAAGAAGUCGGCGUACCUUCAGUCAUUCGUGGUUUUCAUAUGGCUUACCACUCCGUACUUGGUUGCAUUAAUCUCAUUUAUCACAUUUCUGAUGUCAUCUGAGGAAAACGUGCUGGAUGCUAAGACAGCUUUUGUUUCAAUUGCACUCUUCAACCUUAUGCGCUUCCCAAUUAAUCAACUGCCACAAGUUAUUGCUGCAGGUAUUCGGGCAAGAGUCUCCUUACAGAGAAUACAGAAAUUCUUGACUUCAGCAGACAUGGAUCCUCAUGCAGUAUGCAGUGACAACCAACAAAAUGUAGCAGUUAUGGUCCACAAGGGAGAGUUCAGUUGGAACACUGAUGAUGGGAAAACUUCAUGGCGGCUGAAGAAUGUCGAGCUGGAAAUUCAACCUAAGCAGCUGGUAGCCGUUGUGGGGCCCGUAGGAGCUGGCAAGAGUUCUCUACUCUUUUCCCUACUUGGGGAGAUUGAUAAAGAUUCUGGUAAUGUUGUUGUAAAUGGCAAAGUGGCUUAUGUUUCUCAACAAGCUUGGUUACAAAAUGCAACGCUGAAGGAAAAUAUCACCUGGGGUCAACCAUUUGACGAGGAACGUUAUCGUAAAGUUGUGGACGCUUGUGCCCUUCAACAGGACUUGGACAUGCUGCCAGCUGGGGACAUGACAGAGAUAGGAGAAAAGGGAAUUAACCUCAGUGGUGGACAAAAACAACGGGUGUCUCUGGCCCGGGCAGCAUAUAGUGACGCAGAUAUCUUCUUGCUGGAUGACCCUCUCAGUGCCGUAGAUGCUCAUGUUGGACGUCAUAUAUUUGAUAAGCUCAUUGGUCCUGAGGGAAUGUUGAAGGACAAGACCAGGUUGUUGGUGACACAUGCAGUGUGGGUGCUGCCUCAGGUUGAUCUUGUGGUUGUGAUAAAAGAUGGAUGCUUAGUGGAAAAUGGCAGUUACAUGGAGCUGCUGAAGGGAGAUGGGGACUUUGCUCAAUUCUUGCUUCAACACAUAACUAAUCCUGAUAAUGGUCAUGAGGAUGACAGUGAUAUUGAUGAAAUAUGUGAACAGCUUGAAAAUGCUGCUGGUGGACAGAUCCUUAUAGAAAAGCUAUAUCAACAAGCCAAUAACACUGAGCUUCGAAGAUUUGGCAGUGCAGCUAAACGUCAACGAAACGGCAUCAGUGAAAGCAGGCACUCAAGAACAGAAAGUGGAGGAGAUCACAGUCAUAAACGGAAACAUCUACAGUCUAUUUCUUCUUCUGGAACUGGAAGUCUUUGUGACAUCUUUACUCAUGAAUCAAUAUCCAUGAAUGAAAUGGGAGGAAAAGUUGAUGAUGUUAGCAAAGAGAAAGCAGGAGAAACUUUGAUUCAAGAAGAAGCAUUAGAGACUGGCAAGGUAAAGAAGGAAGUGUAUUAUUUUUAUGCAGUAGCAAUGGGACUCUUGCCUGCUGUUCUUCCAACACUUCUGCUUGCUGUUGCCCAAGGUUGCCAGGCAAGCAGUAAUGUUUGGCUCUCCUAUUGGUCAGAAACCGCUGCCAAUUCCUCCAGCAACAGUACAGGUGAAGACUUCAGCCGUGUGGAGUUCUUGGCAGGCUAUGGUGCCCUUGGCUUUGGACAGUCUUUAUUUUACUACAUGGCAUCAGUUUUGCUAUGGAUAGGCUGCAUGAAGGCUGGGAAGGACAUUCACCAGAAACUCUUGAAUAGUGUACUACAUCUUCCCAUGAGCUUCUUUGACACUAAUCCUAGUGGACGUAUCAUGAACCGCCUCAGCAAGGAUAUAGAUGUCCUUGACAGUGUGUUACCUAUUCUGAUAACACACACCUUAGUUGUCUUAUCACAGGUCAUCGCAACACUGAUUGUGAUUGUGGCCUCAACACCAAUAAUUGUUGUUGUCAUUAUUCCCAUCAUGGGGUUGUAUUAUUUCAUCUUGAUUGUCUACAUUUCAACCACAAGGCAGCUCAAGCGGAUUGAAUCGGUUGCCAAAUCUCCCAUCUACUCGCAUUUUGGAGAGUGUGUUCAAGGUGCAUCAAUUAUUCGGGCAUUUAAAAAACAAGAUAAUUUCAUCCAUACAUCCCACAUGAAAACAGAUUAUUGUUUGCAAGCUUUCAUGGCCAACCUUGCAUGUAACAGGUGGUUAGGCAUACGUCUUGAGUUUAUUGGGAACAUCAUCAUCUUUGCUGCGGCCAUCUUUGUUGUAGCUGGUCGGGGCUCAGUGAGCUCGGGCAUUGUUGGUCUUACUUUAACCUAUGCUCUUAAUGUAACGGUAAUUCUCAACUUUUUGGUAAGGAUGAGCUCAGAAAUAGAAGCCAAUAUUGUGUCUGUCGAGAGAAUUAAGGGAUACAUUGAGGAGGAACAUGAAGCACCAUGGAACAUUGAGGUCUCUACUCCACCAAAGUCAUGGCCAGAGUGGGGCUGUCUCACUUUUACCAAUUACCAAACCCGAUACCGUCCCGGCCUAGACCUCGUACUCAAGGACAUCACCUGUACCAUCAACCCGGGAGAAAAGAUGAAUACAGUGAUCUGGUCAACUUGGCAUGGCAACCAACUUGACAUGGACAAGAAAGCUAGUACCUCGUACUGUGAAUACUAGACUGUAUACUGAAUCAAAGAAUCACUCCUUGAUUUUCCCUACUUGAUUUCCCGUGCUUUAAUGAUCCGACCUCAGCAGCCUCAAUCUCUGGCCAAUCUUAGCUCAUGGUCCAGCUAAGUCAAAUCUUACUGGAAGCAGCAUAUUAGAUGGUCAUAUGAUUCCCAAGCAUGAUAUAACAGUCUUAUGACAGGUUGGCAUUGUGGGGAGAACUGGUGCUGGCAAGUCAUCUUUAACUCUUGCUCUGUUUAGAAUUAUCGAGGCCAAUGGCGGUACCAUCGACAUUGAUGGCAUCAAUAUAGCUAAAAUAGGACUCCAAGACUUGAG
rnacentral:misc_RNA from 1 species